rnacentral:snoRNA from 1 species
GAAAGUGAUGAUAGAUUUUUGUCGCCCCAGUCUUAAUUUGCAUCUAUUUACUGGAUGCAACGUGGUGAUUGACAUUUGAUCUGAUUC